rnacentral:rRNA from 1 species
UACGUAGGUGACAAGCGUUGUCCGGAUUUACUGGGCGUAAAGAGCGCGCAGGCGGUCGUUCAAGUCGAGUGUGAAAGCCCCCCGGCUCAACUGGGGAGGGUCACUCGAUACUGAUCGACUCGAAGGCAGGAGAGGGUAGUGGAAUUCCCGGUGUAGUGGUGAAAUGCGUAGAUAUCGGGAGGAACACCAGUGGCGAAGGCGACUCGCUGGACAGACAUUGACGCUGAGGUGCGAAAGCGUGGGGAGCAAACAGG